GAUGAACGCUGGCGGCGUGCCUAAUACAUGCAAGUCGAGCGAACAGACGAGGAGCUUGCUCCUCUGACGUUAGCGGCGGACGGGUGAGUAACACGUGGAUAACCUACCUAUAAGACUGGGAUAACUUCGGGAAACCGGUGCUAAUACCGGAUAAUAUAUUGAACCGCAUGGUUCAAUAGUGAAAGACGGUUUUGCUGUCACUUAUAGAUGGAUCCGCGCCGCAUUAGCUAGUUGGUAAGGUAACGGCUUACCAAGGCAACGAUGCGUAGCCGACCUGAGAGGGUGAUCGGCCACACUGGAAGUGAGACACGGUCCAGGCUCCUACGGGAGGCCGCAGUAGGGAAUCUUCCGCAAUGGGCGAAAUCCUGCCGGAGCAACUGCGCGUGAGUGAUGAAGGUCUUCGGAUCGUAAGACUCUGUUAUUAGGGAAGAACAAAUGUGUAAGUAACUAUGCACGUCUUGACGGUACCUAAGCAGAAAGCCACGGCUAGCUACGUG
rnacentral:rRNA from 1 species